rfam:TPA: Bos taurus chromosome 20, whole genome shotgun sequence.
UGGCUCAGAGGUUAAAGCGUCUGCCUGCAAUGCGGAAGACCUGGGUUCGAUCCCUG